GCAGGAAUGGCGGAAUGGCAGACGCGCCGGCUUCAGGUGCCGGUGGUAGCAAUAUCGUGUGGGUUCAAGUCCCAUUUCCUGCA
rnacentral:tRNA from 1 species